UGGACACUCAUUUAUCGUUGUAUUUUAAGAAUUAUCACCAUCACAUGUAUCAGCAUUGGUACCAUAUGGUGUAGGAUCAUGGGGAGGAGGCAGCGUGGCAGCAGCCCUAUGACAGCAUCACUAUGGAUGAUUGGACUGUCAUAUACCGACAUUACGAGCAUCCGGCAUAUCAGGUUACACAUCCAAACUUCUUCUUUUUUUAGAGUUUAAUGAUUGAAUCAUUUAUUCUUAAAUUAAAUUUAUUAUCUACUA
rnacentral:lncRNA from 1 species